GAAGGCAUGGCUCAGUGGGAGAGUGCGCGCUUAGCACGCACAAGGCUCUGGGUUCAAUCCCCAGUACCUCCA
rnacentral:tRNA from 1 species